rnacentral:rRNA from 1 species
CUCUGGGCCGCAACUGACGCUGAGGAGCGAAAGCAUGGGGAGCGAACAGGAUUAGAUACCCUGGUAGUCCAUGCCGUAAACGUUGGGCACUAGGUGUGGGACUCAUUCCACGAGUUCCGUGCCGCAGCUAACGCAUUAAGUGCCCCGCCUGGGGAGUACGGCCGCAAGGCUAAAACUCAAAGGAAUUGACGGGGGCCCGCACAAGCGGCGGAGCAUGCGGAUUAAUUCGAUGCAACGCGAAGAACCUUACCAAGGCUUGACAUGCACCGGACGCUGCCAGAGAUGGUGGUUCCGCAAGGUCGGUGCACAGGUGGUGCAUGGUUGUCGUCAGCUCGUGUCGUGAGAUGUUGGGUUAAGUCCCGCAACGAGCGCAACCCUUGUCCUAUGUUGCCAGCGGGUUAUGCCGGGGACUCAUGGGAGACUGCCGGGGUCAACUCGGAGGAAGGCGGGGAUGACGUCAAAUCAUCAUGCCCCUUAUGUCUUGGGCUUCACGCAUGCUACAAUGGCCGGUACAGAGGGCUGCGAUACCGUAAGGUGGAGCGAAUCCCAAAAAGCCGGUCUCAGUUCGGAUUGGGGUCUGCAACUCGACCCCAUGAAGUCGGAGUCGCUAGUAAUCGCAGAUCAGCAACGCUGCGGUGAAUACGUUCCCGGGCCUUGUACACACCGCCCGUCAAGUCACGAAAGUUGGUAACACCCGAAGCUCACGGCCCAACC